rnacentral:misc_RNA from 1 species
GAUGAAGAACGUAGCGAAAUGCGAUAAGUAAUGUGAAUUGCAGAAUUCAGUGAAUCAUCGAAUCUUUGAACGCACAUUGCGCCCGCCAGUAUUCUGGCGGGCAUGCCUGUUCGAGCGUCAUUAUCACCAUCAAGCUCUGCUUGUGUUGGGGUCCUGCGGCUGCCCGCAGGCCCUGAAACCCAGUGGCGGGCUCGCUAGUCACACCGAGCGCAGUAGCACAUCUCGCUCAGGGCGUGCGGCGGGUUCUUGCCGUAAAACAACCCCCCCUUUUCACCAAGGUUGACCUCGGAUCAGGUAGGAAUACCCGCUGAACUUAAGCAUAUCAAUAAGCGGAGGA